rnacentral:rRNA from 1 species
CAAUGCCGUGGGAACCUUUAGGGAGUGAAGUGCCCAGUAUGCUUUCAUAGCCUGAGUCGCCAAGAUAAAAGAAAGCGGCAAUCGGGAUGACGGGGCCGAAAACCUUAAAACCGAACUUAAAUCCGUCAAUAAAAUAGCCGGUGAUUUUUUCAAGCCCUUUAUGCUUAUACACGAAAAAAUGAACGGUAAAGAGGAUACAAAUUGCAGACCCGCCAAUUAACGCGGUUGCAUCAUUUCCUUGUAGGUUAAACAAGAGCAUGCAGGCGAUAUCUGCAAGAAAGGCAAGCGGAAUCAAAAAAGCCAGUAUGGACCGCAGGCGUUUUGGCAAGUACAGCGAGUUGUCUUGUUCGCCGGAAAGAACGGGGGAAAAAGAAGCGGGAUGCUCCUGUUUUUUGCGUUCGCGCUGAAUCAUGAUAAAGGCAGCAGUUGUUGUUGUCACACCCAUAAUCAGCACAAGCGGAAUACUGGCCGAGACGACAUCACCGACUGGAAUGCCUGCUGCAUCCGCAGUCAGCUUUGGCGCCGCCUGAAUGACAAAGUCUCCUGACAGGGCAAAACCGUGUCCGAAUAAGUUCAUGGCCAUGGCCGCGGCAAGAGGUGUCAAACCGGCACGUGCGGCUGCGGGGAGCAGGACGGCGCCGAUCAAAGCGACACCCGGAGAAGGCCAGAAGAAUAGAGAAAUGGCGAACAUCAGGCCUCCAAUCAGCCAAUAGGCAGUCACAGGCCCUCUCACAAGGCUUGCAAAGGGAGAAAUCAUCGCUUCAUUUAUCCCUGUUUUUGUUAACAAAUCACUCAUUGAAACGAUAAAGCAAAUGAUGAAAAUCGUGGGCAGCAGUUCGCCGGCCGCAUAGAUAAAGCUGUGGAAUAAACUGCUGACAGAAGCUGAAAGUGAAUGGCUGGCCCAUAGCGAUAUGAUAAAAAUGCCGAAUAGAGAAAUAAAUGUCGUGUCUUUUCUCAGCAGCAUAAAUAGGAUAAUUGCACCGAUAAAAAACACAUACAGAACAUGGACAGGCAAAAUCCCGACUUCCAUCAUCGAUCACUCCUUCCGCUUACAGAUUAUUCAUAGGCGGGCGGAAGGUGCCGGGACAGAGGGGAAGGUUAUGAUGGAAGAUGAACAUUGAUCUGUUUCAGCUGCUCAAUCAGAUGAUGCCUUAAUCCUCUAUUCGCUUUUUGCAGAUGUUUUGGGAAGCAUUCAGGAGAAAAAAUGACGCACCCUUCAGCAAGCCAGUUUUUUCUAUAGGCGAUGAUGCUUUCCGAUGGCUCUAUAUGAGUUAUCCUCGUGCUGCAUCUCGUACUCAUCAAAUCCGAACUGAAAACCGCAGCACGGGCAGAUUUCAUGAGAAUGAUUGCCUUCAUGAUCAUAUGGCGGUUCAGCCAAUCCUUAAACCCGCAGACUGGGCAAGUAUGCUUCAUUUUGCUUUCCUCCCAAUAAAAUAAGCUGCCGGACAUGCCGGCAGCUAUUCGACAGCGAAAUAUGUGGUGACAUAGGAAGGCCGGGAGAAGAUCGACGUUGUGUCAAUUCCGGCAGAUGUAUCGCGUUUUUUGUGGGCUUCUUUGUAAGAACCGGACUGCUGCCAGUCUUGAAAGGCGCUUUCCGUUUCCCACAAGGUCAGAAUGACAUAGGUGUCACUGUCAAGCGGACGGAGCACUCGAAUUGCUUCAAAGCCAGGCUCAUUUUCGACUUUUCCCGCUCUGUUUUUAAAUCUGUUUUCAAACAGCGGACGCCCUUCCUGAGUGACGGCAAUAUUGUUCAAUACUGCAAAACCGGGAUGCUUGAUCUCUCCGACUUGGUCAAUGACUUCAUAAGCGUGUGGUGCCUGGAAAACGGUUUCUCCGUUUGUUUCAUGAAUCAAAAUGGCGUUUUCCUGCCCCUGCAUCAAAAGGAUAUUUUCUGAGGGAUGCUUCUCUACGAUCGUUUUUAAAAAAUCGGCUGUCCCAUAUGUAAUAUAAACCUUCAUAUCAGCCACCUCCUGCUUGCUAGUAUAUCAAAACAAUGGUAUAAGUUUCUAUUGGCGAGUGCUUCGAACAUAAUUCCAAACAAUUUUUCCCAUACUACCUUUAGAAAGGCGAGGUGAGUUCAUGUUUAAGAUAAAGAAAAAGAAACUUUUUAUACCUAUCAUUAUUUUAGUGUUAACUGCUUUUCUCGCUUUAAUAGGAUAUAUUUCAAUUAUUUUUCUCGGCCAUUAUGUCAUAGAUGAAAAGAAGCUGAUACUUCAUGCUUCUUCAAAAAUUGUUGAUCAAAACGGAGAUGAGGUUGCAAGCCUGUAUACAGAAAAUCGUGAGCCGGUCUCGAUCAAUGAGAUUCCAAAGCAGGUCAGAGAAGCGUUUAUCGCUGUUGAGGAUAAAAGGUUCUAUGAGCAUCACGGCAUUGAUGCAAAAUCUGUCGGAAGGGCAGUGUAUCGCGAUAUAUUAGCAGGCGGAAAGGUGGAAGGCGGAAGCACGAUCACCCAGCAGCUUGCCAAAAAUAUUUUUCUGACACAUGACAAAACGUUUCUAAGAAAAACAAAAGAAGUGAUCAUUGCGAUCAAUCUUGAACGGGAUUACAGCAAGGACAAGCUGCUUGAAAUGUAUUUAAAUCAGCUUUACUUCGGACAUGGGGUUUACGGCAUACAAGCGGCGUCCCACUAUUAUUUUAAUAAAGAAGUAAAAGAUUUGACUGUAUCUGAAGGCGCUGUUUUGGCCGCUAUUCCGAAGGCGCCUUCUACGUACUCUCCAAUUUUGCACCCUGAUAAAAAUAAGGAGCGGCGUGAUACAAUUCUAGGUAUGAUGAAUGACCAAGGCUAUAUCAGUGCGAAAGAGGCUGUCACCGCACAGGGCCGAACGCUUGGACUGCACGUGAAGAAACAGUCGGAAACACCUUGGUUUGACAGCUACAUUGACCUUGUGAUCAAAGAGGCGGAAGACAAGUAUUCCAUUUCCGGAGAGCAG